UUUUUGUUGAAUCUAUUUGUUAGUUGAGAUGCAGAAGCUUCUGAUUUAAUUUAUUUGUUGAUGCGUUGAAUGUCUGAUUGAGAUAACAAAAUCGUCUUUACUUUUCUCUUUGCUAUGAAUUUGUGAGUGUGUGUGUGUUGAGAUGCCUUUGAUUUUGGUUUUGGCUUUAUGUGUUUUGUGUUGAAGAGGGGGCUGUGACACUUUGUCGGA
rnacentral:lncRNA from 1 species